GACGAACGCUGGCGGCGUGCUUAACACAUGCAAGUCGAACGGAAAGGCCCUGCUUGCAGGGUACUCGAGUGGCGAACGGGUGCGUAACACGUGGGUGAUCUGCCCUGCACUUCGGGAUAAGCCUGGGAAACUGGGUCUAAUACCGGAUAGGACCAUCGUUUCGUGUCGGUGGUGGAAAGUUCUUCGGUGCAGGAUGAGCGGGCGGCCCAUCGGCUUGUUGGUGGGGUAAUGGCCUACCAAGGCGUCGACGGGUAGCCGGCCUGAGAGUGGUGGACGGCCAAAUUGGGGCUGGGACACGGCCCAGACUCCUACGGGAGGCAGCAGUGGGGAAUAUUGCACAAUGGGCGCAAGCCUGAUGCAGCGACGCCGCGUGGGGGAUGAAGGCCUUCGGGUUGUAAACUCCUUUCAACCAUGACGAAGCUUUUUGUGACGGUAGUGGUAGAAGAAGCACCGGCUAACUACGUGCCAGCAGCCGCCGUAA
rnacentral:rRNA from 1 species